CAAGAGCAAAUGGGUAAAAUUUAUUUGUAAAUGGGUAAUUUGCAUCUGAAAAUUUCAUUGAUGUUAACACCUUGGAGAUCUGAUGCCCUGC